rnacentral:rRNA from 1 species
GAUGAACGCUAGCGGCAGGCCUAACACAUGCAAGUCGAGGGGCAUCAUGGCGUAGCAAUACGCUGAUGGCGACCGGCGCACGGGUGCGUAACGCGUAUGGAACCUACCCACCGCAGGGGGAUAACCCGCCGAAAGGCGGACUAAUACCCCAUGGUUCCCCGACCCUGCCUGGGGUUGGGGGUAAAGCCUACGGGCGGCGGUGGAUGGCCCUGCGUGCCAUUAGCUGGCUGGUGGGGUAACGGCCCACCAGGGCGACGAUGGCUAGGGGGUCUGAGAGGACGAUCCCCCACACUGGUACUGAGACACGGACCAGACUCCUACGGGAGGCAGCAGUGAGGAAUAUUGGUCAAUGGGCGGAAGCCUGAACCAGCCAUGCCGCGUGCAGGAUGACGGCCCUACGGGUUGUAAACUGCUUUUCCCCGGGGCGAAUAACCCCCUCGCGACGGGGGAGUGCCGGUACCGGGGAGUAAGGAGUCGGCGUAACGUCCGUGCCAGCGAGCCGCGGUAAACCGUAGCGUG